rnacentral:rRNA from 1 species
CCUACGGGGGGCAGCAGUGGGGCCUCUUUGGCCCUUUGUUCCCCCCUGCCCCAGCAACGCCGCGUGAAGGAAGAAGGCUUUCGGGUUGUAAACUUCUUUUACCAGGGACGAAGAAAGUGACGGUACCUGGAGAAAAAGCUCCGGCUAACUACGUGCCAGCAGCCGCGGUAAUACGUAGGGAGCGAGCGUUGUCCGGAUUUACUGGGUGUAAAGGGCGUGUAGGCGGAGCUGCAAGUCAGAAGUGAAAUCUCCGGGCUCAACCCGGAAACUGCUUUUGAAACGGGAGCCCUUGAGUAUCGGAGAGG